GUCUUGCUUUAAAUAUGUGACAUAAUGGUUCUGGCCUGUUUCUGGGCUCAAGACCAGCUCAGAAGAGUAAAAGGUUACCUACAACAACAGCAGAGGCACUAAGUUCUGUAUGGGGUAUUCAGGUUUGAAAGUGCUUAUUGUUUCCUUUCAGAAAUGUGUUUUCUUUUCAAAUAGAAACAUUGUGCUGACUCCACUUGCAGCUUGCCACUCUUCAAAGGCACGUCAGUGCAUUGUACCAGGCAAUCUGUAUUUUCCAAAAUUGAAUUUCCACACGUGAAAGUAGGUAGAAGUCUCCAGUGACCUUUUGAUGGCAUCCUGGAAGAAAUGAUGGAAGCACUUUACCUCUGAUAAUUUUCAGAUGAAACACAAAAGGGAGUGGAAGCUGCCAUCUGAGUCUAGGAUCUGCCUCCUCCUCAAGAGGACUCUGAAGCUGACUGCAUCUGUGUCACAAGAUUGGGAAAAAAGACGAGUUCAAGGGGCACAUUGCAUGAAAGCAGAGUGCCAGAAGAAAAGAUUAGAAGCAGGCAUACAAUGUAUGAGGUAUUAGGUUGAUGAUCACUGCACUGAAGAAGUUGCCCUGAGAAGGAAGGUGAGGAUUGACAGCUCAGUUGAGUCCUGGAUCUCCCAGCAAACAGCCAGGCCUGCACCUAGGAAAGACUAAAUCUCACACACUUCAGGGACAUUCUUGCUGAAUGAAUCCCUGGAAAACAUCGCCUCAUUCUAGUUGCAGUGGCACUAUUGUUACAGAGACAAUGCAGCAGCUGGGUGUGAAGACUGAGGUGACAGUCCUUCACUUCUGGAAGAGGGUUAAUUGUGCAGCACCUGCAGGACAGGCUAAUAGGAAGGAUGUACAGGACCCGCAGUUACUGCACAUAGCCAAAGAAGUGCCUGGUGGGAUCCCUGGAUACACCAUCCCUAGGUGAGCUUCAGAGAGUGAAAGAACCUGCUGAAAUAUGAGAUAUGUAUUAUUCCCUGAAUGGGAUUUUUUGUGUGUAUUUGUACAGCUAGUAAGAUCAGAAAUUGUUUUGUUUGCUGAAUCGAUCCUUCAUAUUCUCCCAGUAUGAUUUAGGUUAUUAUUUGUUUCACUUAUUCACCACAAACACUCCUAAAUAUUAGGUGUGGAUAAGCUCUAAGCCUCCAGGCCAAUUGCAUGUGAUAUCUACCUUCAACCAGAAAUUACAUAUAAGAGCAAAAAUACCAUACAGCUUUGCUUUUAAUUGAUCAGGUAGAAGCAAGCAUAGUUAAGUCCUAAGUCCUGGCACUGAAUCCCCAUCAUCUGUGCAUGAAAUGUGCUGAUUUGCACACCUGCUAGGGGAUGAGAAGAGCUAUGAGUAAAGUCCCAUAUCCCUUUUGAGGCCAGAUUGCAAUUGCUCCUUAGCACAACGGUGUUAACCUACUCAACCAGAAGGAUCCCUUGCUUCCCAUCCCAAUAGCCCAGGAGAGUCCUCAAAACAGUAUGUUUUUUACCCAAUGAAACACAGAGCAAUGAGGCAGGAACCCCAUGUCACUUUCUCUCCCCAAGUGCCACAUUAUUAAAUUCUGCCUGUAUGAUGCCAUUGCUCCAGGCUGGUUUCCAACCAGGCUCUAAUUUUUUUUGUCAGCUUAUUGGUUCACUGUGGAAUUGAUUGAAUCUGUCAAGGUUUUCUUGAGAUGGGAGGACAGGACAUAUUGGAAAAGUACAGAUCAAUUUUCACAUGCUUAUCCAUUCUCACAGGAGAAAUAAAAAAUGUUGAUUGUUUGUGCA
rnacentral:lncRNA from 1 species